rnacentral:rRNA from 1 species
GGAUGAACGCUGGCGGCGUGCCUAAUACAUGCAAGUCGAACGAUGUAGCAAUACAUAGUGGCGACCGGGUGAGUAACACGUAGCUGACCUGCCCCUCAGCGGGGGAUAACGUUUCGAAAGAGACGCUAAUACCGCAUGAUUUCGUCGGGACUAGAAGCCGACGAAUAAACUUCAGGGGUUGAGGGAGGGGGCUGCGGCCCAUCAGGUAGUUGGUGAGGUAAUGGCUCACCAAGCCAAUGACGGGUAGGGGGCCUGAGAGGGUGGUCCCCCACACUGGAACUGACACACGGUCCAGACUCCUACGGGAGGCAGCAGUAAGGGAUAUUGGUCAAUGGGCGAAAGCCUGAACCAGCAACGCCGCGUGCAGGAUGACGGCCUUCGGGUUGUAAACUGCUUUGGCUGGGGACGAGCAAGGACGGUACCCAGCGAACAAGUCACGGCUAACUACGUGCCAGCAGCCGCGGUAAAACGUAGGUGGCGAGCGUUAUCCGGAUUUACUGGGCGUAAAGCAUGUGCAGACGGGUUGGUAAGUGGUGUAUGAAAGCGUCCGGCUUAACCGGGCAAGCGUAUGCCAGACUGCCAGUCUUGAGAGUGGGAGAGGGACGUGGAAUUCCGGGUGUAGUGGUGAAAUGCGUAGAGAUCCGGAGGAACCCCAGAGGCGAAGGCGGCGUCCUGGCCCACAUCUGACGUUCAGACAUGACAGCAUGGGGAGCGAACGGGAUUAGAAACCCCGGGAGUCCAUGCCGUAAACGAAUCGACGAGGCGCGGGCGGGUAAUACCGCGCGGGCCGCAGCAACG